GCAAACUUGGUCAUUUAGAGGAAGUAAAAGUCGUAACAAGGUUUCCGUAGGUGAACCUGCGGAAGGAUCAUUAACGAGCUUCGAAACAAAGGCCACCCUUCUUGGGCUGAUGCUGGCUCCUCCGGGCACGUGCACGCCUUGGGCGCCUUUGAUUCACUCGCCCCACCCUUUUCCUCCCCCUUUGUGCACUUUGUUGUAGGUUGGCCUCCCUUCAGGGAGGCGCCUACGAUUUUUCUCCCGUCUUUGUACGCACCCCAAUGGCAUGUCAUGAGCGUCAGAUCUUUUUGAAUGCGUGAUUAACGCGAAAACACAACUUUCAACAACGGAUCUCUUGGCUCUCGCAUCGAUGAAGAACGCAGC
rnacentral:misc_RNA from 1 species